GACGUAGGGCGCGAGCGUUGUCCGGAUUUACUGGGCGUAAAGCGUGCGCAGGCGGUUCUCCAAGUCCGUUGUGAAAGCCCCGGGCUCAACCUGGGAAUGGCAGUGGAAACUAGGGGACUUGAAUCUGGCAGAGGGGGGUGGAAUUCCACGUGUAGCAGUGAAAUGCGUAGAGAUGUGGAGGAACACCGAUGGCGAAGGCAGCCCCCUGGGCUGAGAUUGACGCUCAGGCACGAAAGCGUGGGGAGCAAACAGG
rnacentral:rRNA from 1 species